UACGGGAGGCAGCAGUGGGGAAUAUUGCACAAUGGGCGCAAGCCUGAUGCAGCCAUGCCGCGUGUAUGAAGAAGGCCUUCGGGUUGUAAAGUACUUUCAGCGGGGAGGAAGGUGUUGUGGUUAAUAACCGCAGCAAUUGACGUUACCCGCAGAAGAAGCACCGGCUAACUCCGUGCCAGCAGCCGCGGUAAUAAU
rnacentral:rRNA from 1 species